UACGGGGGGAGCAAGCGUUGUUCGGAUUUACUGGGCGUAAAGGGCGCGUAGGCGGUCAGCACAAGUCAGUUGUGAAAUCUCCGGGCUUAACUCCGGGGCUGCAGGUGAGACUGCGUGGCUAGAGCUUGGUAGAGGCGAGUGGAAUUCCCGGUGUAGCGGUGGAAUGCGUAGAUAUCGGGAAGAACACCGGUGGCGAAGGCGGCUCGCUGGGCCAAUGCUGACGCUGAGGCGCGAAAGCGUGGGGAGCAAACAGG
rnacentral:rRNA from 1 species